rnacentral:ncRNA from 1 species
AUGUUAUAAGAAUGGAGAGCAGGUUAGAACUCCCCUUGAUAAGAAUGGAAGAGGUCCUAGUGGCCUGUACAACUCAAAUAGAAUUAAGGUAUUGCCACUGAUGUCACGGCAUGUAACCAAAUUUUAAG